ensembl:lncRNA
AGUUUCCUCACACUCGUGGGUCAGUUAUGCUGCAUACUUGAGGGAGACCUUCUGCAGAGCUCCAGAUCCGGGAGGCCUGGCAUGCUGCAGUCCAUGGGGUCGCAAAGAGCUGGACAUGACUGGGGGACUGAACAACACCAUCACCGUGGCGUAUCAUGGAAAACGAGGCACAGCCACGCGGGGCAGAAGUGCCCUGGGAUCUUACCACCCGGCCCUGCUACCAUCGACCUCAGAUCAGAACUAUGGCCUCAGUUUCCUCACCUGUAAAGGGAGGGGACAUGAUGCAAUUCCUUCUCACCUUUUCCUCCAGGAGAAGAGGACACAGACACCUGCCCACGAACUAGCCCAGCCCCACAGGGGAUGCUGUGUGGUUUUCAACAAGAGAGGCAGGCGGUGGGGAUGUGCCAGGGGCCCAUGUCCACUUCUGCUGUGGCUUUCAGCUCCUGAUGUUCACUAGGAGUCCUUUAAUACCCUUUCUGUGAGCAGCAGGCACAUGGCUGGGAAUGUGGCGGCCCUAAACUAACAGCUGAGAGCUCUACAUAGCUCUUUAGGUCACUUUAGCACAUUAUACCCCUGAGAUUCAAACUUUCUCCAAGGUCAUGUUAAGAUUCAAGUUUGGCGAAAUGGAGUGCUGAGUCCAAAAACGAAAACAAUCUAAAAGACCAGGGCUGUUUCCUUUACCCCGGUUUACUGAGCGACACCUUUUCUUGCUGUGGUUUCUAUAAUGGUAUUUUAUUUUACAAUAUAAAGGUAAAGAAAAAUACUCUCUGCUAACAGAGUAAAACCACAUUAAUUACACAUAGGUUUUAUCUUUGUUGCAUAGAUUCUCCAGCCAAACCACUGCUUGGAUUCCCCCUUUGUCUGACCCAGGUAGACAGGCGAGAGGAUCAGAGCUGGGAUUUUUCUGGUUGGGGGCACCUUGCAGGGGUCAGCCGAUUCUUUUAAAGUGCCCUUAACAGGAGCCUAUGUUAAUGAAAGCAGUUUUCUCAUGACAGAUCAGAACCUGGCCUUUAUAGCAUUAAAAAAAAUUUUUUUUUACAUCGAGAAGAAACGGUGAACAAUGAUUGAAUCAAAGCCGCCCUCAGCAGCCUCCCCCAACUCCACCCCAUCUGAGAACAGCCCUGUUUCAAUUUCACCACUGAGUUCAGCCUGCCUGCUCCAGACGUCCAGACCUCGCACUCUAUAAAUCGUCUCUGCCCUUGCCCUGGAGUUGCUGACUAUAUGUAUUUUUGGGCCCAGCAUUAAUUCCCUCAUCCUUGGCUGGUGACAUUAAGAUUUGUAACUGAUAGAAUGUGUUUUUAAUGUAUUUCCUGCAGGUUACUA